rnacentral:rRNA from 1 species
AGAGCGAACGCUGGCGGCAGGCCUAACACAUGCAAGUCGAACGGACCCUUCGGGGUUAGUGGCGGACGGGUGAGUAACACGUGGGAACGUGCCUUUUGGUUCGGAAUAGCUCCUGGAAACGGGUGGUAAUGCCGAAUGUGCCCUUCGGGGGAAAGAUUUAUCGCCAUUAGAGCGGCCCGCGUCUGAUUAGCUAGUUGGUAAGGUGAUGGCUUACCAAGGCGACGAUCAGUAGCUGGUCUGAGAGGAUGACCAGCCACAUUGGGACUGAGACACGGCCCAAACUCCUACGGGAGGCAGCAGUGGGGAAUCUUGCGCAAGUGGGCGAAACGCCUGACGCAGCCAUGCCGCGUGAAUCGAUUGAAGGUUCUUAAGGACUUAGUAAAUUCUUUCGACCGGG